rnacentral:rRNA from 1 species
GACGAACGCUGGCGGCGUGCUUAACACAUGCAAGUCGAACGGAAAGGCCUGCUUUCCCUUGUGGAUUGCGGGUACUCGAGUGGCGAACGGGUGAGUAACACGUGAGUGAUCUGCCCCCAACUUGGGUAUAAGCCUGGGAAACUGGGUCUAAUUCCCGAUAGGACUGCAGGGUGGUGCCUGUGAUGGAAAACGAUUUUCUAGUGGUUGGGGAUGAGCUCGCGGCCUAUCAGCUUGUUGGUGGGGUAAUGGCCUACCAAGGCGGCGACGGGUAGCCGGCCUGAGAGGGUGGACGGCCACAUUGGGACUGAGAUACGGCCCAGACUCCUACGGGAGGCAGCAGUGGGGAAUAUUGCACAAUGGGCGGAAGCCUGAUGCAGCGACGCCGCGUGGGGGAUGACGGCCUUCGGGUUGUAAACUCCUUUCGACCGCGAGGAAGCCACCUGGUUGGAAGGGUGGUGACGGUAGUGGUAGAAGAAGCACCGGCUAACUACGUG